rnacentral:snRNA from 1 species
CAACUUACCUGGCAGGGGAGAUACCAUGAUCUGAUCACGAAGGUGGUUUUCCCAGGGUGAGGCUGAUCCAUUGCAGUCCGGAUGUGCUGACCCCUGCGAUUUCCCCAAAUGUGGGAAACUCGACUGCAUAAUUUGUGGUAGUUGGGGGACUGUGUUCGCACUCUUGCCUG